rnacentral:piRNA from 1 species
UGGAAGUUGCCUCCAACAUGACAGUGUUC